GAUGAACGCUGGCGGCGUGCCUAAUACAUGCAAGUCGAGCGAACGGACGAGAAGCUUGCUUCUCUGAUGUUAGCGGCGGACGGGUGAGUAACACGUGGAUAACCUACCUAUAAGACUGGGAUAACUUCGGGAAACCGUAGCUAAUACCGGAUAAUAUUUUGAACCGCAUGGUUCAAAAGUGAAAGACGGUCUUGCUGUCACAUAUAGAUGGAUCCGCGCUGCAUUAGCUAGUUGGUAAGGUAACGGCUUACCAAGGCAACGAUGCAUAGCCGACCUGAGGGGGUGAUCGGCCACACUGGAACUGAGACACGGUCCAGACUCCUACGGGAGGCAGCAGUAGGGAAUCUUCCGCAAUGGGCGAAAGCCUGACGGAGCAACGCCGCGUGAGUGAUGAAGGUCUUCGGAUCGUAAAACUCUGUUAUUAGGGAAGAACAUAUGUGUAAGUAACUGUGCACAUCUUGACGGUACCUAAUCAGAAAGCCACGGCUAACUACGUG
rnacentral:rRNA from 1 species